GAUGAACGCUGGCGGCGUGCCUAAUACAUGCGAGUCGAGCGAACGGACGAGAAGCUUGCUUCUCUGAUGUUAGCGGCGGACGGGUGAGUAACACGUGGAUAACCUACCUAUAAGACUGGGAUAACUUCGGGAAACCGGAGCUAAUACCGGAUAAUAUUUUGAACCGCAUGGUUCAAAAGUGAAAGACGGUCUUGCUGUCACUUAUAGAUGGAUCCGCGCUGCAUUAGCUAGUUGGUAAGGUAACGGCUUACCAAGGCAACGAUGCAUAGCCGACCUGAGAGGGUGAUCGGCCACACUGGAACUGAGACACGGUCCAGACUCCUACGGGAGGCAGCGGUAGGGAAUCUUCCGCAAUGGGCGAAAGCCUGACGGAGCAACGCCGCGUGAGUGAUGAAGGUCUUCGGAUCGUAAAACUCUGUUAUUAGGGAAGAACAUAUGUGUAAGUAACUGUGCACAUCUUGACGGUACCUAAUCAGAAAGCCACGGCUAACUACGUG
rnacentral:rRNA from 1 species